rnacentral:rRNA from 1 species
CAGAAACUCAAAGGAAUUGACGGGGCCCGCACAAGCGGUGGAGCAUGUGGUUUAAUCGAAGCAACGCGAAGAACCUUACCAGGCCUUGACAUGCAGAGAACUUUCCAGAGAUGGAUUGGUGCCUUCGGGAACUCUGACACAGGUGCUGCAUGGCUGUCGUCAGCUCGUGUCGUGAGAUGCUGGGUUAAGUCCCGUAACGAGCGCAACCCUUGUCCUUAGUUACCAGCACGUUAUGGUGGGCACUCUAAGGAGACUGCCGGUGACAAACCGGAGGAAGGUGGGGAUGACGUCAAGUCAUCAUGGCCCUUACGGCCUGGGCUACACACGUGCUACAAUGGUCGGUACAAAGGGUUGCCAAGCCGCGAGGUGGAGCUAAUCCCAUAAAACCGAUCGUAGUCCGGAUCGCAGUCUGCAACUCGACUGCGUGAAGUCGGAAUCGCUAGUAAUCGUGAAUCAGAAUGUCACGGUGAAUACGUUCCCGGGCCUU